GAACCUCAGCAGCAGAAGCAGGAGCCGCUGGGCAGCGACUCCGAAGGUGUUAACUGUCUGGCCUAUGAUGAAGCCAUCAUGGCUCAGCAGGACCGAAUUCAGCAAGAGAUUGCUGUGCAGAACCCUCUGGUGUCAGAGCGGCUGGAGCUCUCGGUCCUAUACAAGGAGUAUGCUGAAGAUGACAACAUCUAUCAACAGAAGAUCAAGGUCUGUGAGCUGGGAGGAUGACAUGCGAAAUGGGGCCAGGCAUGGUGGCUCAAGCCUGGAAUCCUAGCACUUUGGGAGGCUGAGGCCAGAGGAUCGCUUGAGCCCAGGAGUUCAAGACCAACCCAGGCAACAUAGUGAGACCUUGUCUCUCCAAAUCAAAAAAUUACUGGGCGUGGUAGCACAUGUCUAUAGUCCCAGCUACUCAAGAGGCUGCGGUUGGAGGAUCACUUGAGCCCAAGAAGUUGAGCCAUGAUUGUACCACUGCACUCCAGCCUGGGUGACAGUGAGACCUGUCUCUAAAAUAAAUAAAUAAAUAAAUAAAUAAAUAAAUGUGACAA
rnacentral:sRNA from 1 species